ACUGAAAUAUUUAACUCUCAGACAUAUCUUUAUGAGUAAUCCGUUAAGGCCAAUAUAAAUCACAUAAUUCCGUUAAUGUAAGUAAUACUCGACGCGUCGUCAUGUUUCUUUAGUUGAUCAACUUUAAUUUAUUGUAUCUCGUAAUUCUAUCUUUUGCAAUAAUAAUAAUAAUAAUUCUACUAUUCUGUAUUCUGCAAUAAAAUUCCGUGAAAAGAUUCACAGCAUCUUGGACAAUAUAUACAGAAAACCCUUUAAUCCUUUUAUAGUUUUUCGUAUGUUUACGUGCGCCUCACGUGAAUGAACGAAGUAUUAAAUUAUUUCAGUAAAGGAUGAUAGUAAAAAGAUGUAUGGUCUACCCGAAGAGUGAUUGAUACUUUUGUUACGUUUGUCCGAUCUAUUACACCGUAAUCUGUCCGAAGGAAUACUGAUCAAUGAGGAAUACAUAGUCUCAUAGAAUGUCGGUCCGUCAUUCAUACCGAGUUCGUCUGUUCUAGGUCGUCUAUACUCUGAAGAAGAGCUGCGCGACGUUACAAUACUAAUUUACGGCGUUCACGCAAAGGGAUCGAGAUCGCUUUACGACGGCCAUGAACUCUUGAUACUUACCCCGUACACGUAAGAUCGUGGGGGAUACCGUGGUAGCGGCGGAAUGAGUCUGGUGGCGAAAUUGGAAGGGGCCUGGAAGAGAUUCGGGCAUGGAGAAUCUGUCGCCUCUCUUACGCCGCUCGACGGGUUUAUCGCGUGUUAUACGCCACCAGACAGCCGAUCGAUGCUAUUUGCUAUAUAACGUUGUACGAGGUGCCGGCAAAGAGAUGUGGUGCAAUCAGAGGGAGCAUAUGCGCUUUGAGUGAGGGUGAGUCGCGCUAAAGCGAUAGAGAAGUGAGCUUCGUAAUUUCUCUUUAAUCUAAUUGCGUCAAUGAUCGCACUCAGCAGAGAUGACAGUAUAACGUAAUCGAAUUCUUCAUCAAUGUGCAUAAAGAUACAAAAUUGAAGAUGGAAAUUUAAAACAAAUUCUCCCUUGUAAACAUUGAUGGCAAGAAACGCUAUCUAAAACUUUUUACUAUCUUGAUUUUGAUAAUUGCAAUAAAAAUAGCGAUAAUAUAUAGAUUAAAUAAUCCCUAUAAGCACACAAUAUUUCUAGAUUAUAUGAAUAUUAUUAAAAAUAAAAGUAAUAUACUAUGAAUAUUCCAAGAAUAUUAUUACAGAUAUUUUUUAAUAUCAUGGAAAUAUUCUGUUAAUGUUAUAUAUCCACUUUACAAUGUUUUUAUAUUUAUGGAAAAUAUAAAAAUAUUUAUAUAUAAUAGUUCUGACAAAGGAAUAGACAUUCCUUGAAUUAUAUUUUACAAUUAUUAAUAAUAAAUGACAUGUUUAAACUUUAUUUUUGGUAUAAACUUCAUUUCAUUUUAAUAAAAAAAUAAUGUUUUAGGAACGUUAUUUAAUAUUUAAUAUUAUAUUGACUAGAAUAUUACUUAAUAUUCAAUAAUAUUGCAUAUUUAUAGGGAUUGAUGUAACAGGAUAGACUUGAAAAGGGAGACGUAUUGAAAAAAAAUAAACAUACAAACAAAUGUUGCAAUGAUUUCUAAAAUA